rnacentral:tRNA from 1 species
AUUUAAAUAGCUCAAGAUUAAGAGCUUAGCUCUGAAGAAGCUAAGGUAGAGGUUUCUCUUUUAAAUA